GACCCAGUGGUGAAAUGAUAUCACGUCCACUCCCUGUAAUCUUACUUUGACACGGGUAGUAAAUGGGAGUCCCUUGUUCGAAUCAAGGCUGGGUCA